rnacentral:tRNA from 1 species
GUGCUCAUAGCUCAACUGGAUAGAGCAAUUGCCUCCUAAGCAGUAGACGGGGGUUCAAGUCCCUCUGGGCACACCA